GGGUUGUGAGGUUAAGCGACUAAGCGUACACGGUGGAUGCCCUGGCAGUCAGAGGCGAUGAAGGACGUGCUAAUCUGCGAUAAGCGUCGGUGAGGUGAUAUGAACCGUUAUAACCGGCGAUUUCCGAAUGGGGAAACCCAGUGUGUUUCGACACACUAUCAUUAACUGAAUCCAUAGGUUAAUGAGGCGAACCGGGGGAACUGAAACAUCUAAGUACCCCGAGGAAAAGAAAUCAACCGAGAUUCCCCCAGUAGCGGCGAGCGAACGGGGAGGAGCCCAGAGCCUGAAUCAGUGUGUGUGUUAGUGGAAGCGUCUGGAAAGGCGCGCGAUACAGGGUGACAGCCCCGUACACAAAAAUGCACAUAUUGUGAGCUCGAUGAGUAGGGCGGGACACGUGGUAUCCUGUCUGAAUAUGGGGGGACCAUCCUCCAAGGCUAAAUACUCCUGACUGACCGAUAGUGAACCAGUACCGUGAGGGAAAGGCGAAAAGAACCCCGGCGAGGGAGUGAAAAAGAACCUGAAACCGUGUACGUACAAGCAGUGGGAGCCUCUUAAUGGGGUGACUGCGUACCUUUUGUAUAAUGGGUCAGCGACUUAUAUUCUGUAGCAAGGUUAACCGAAUAGGGGAGCCGAAGGGAAACCGAGUCUUAACUGGGCGUUAAGUUGCAGGGUAUAGACCCGAAACCCGGUGAUCUAGCCAUGGGCAGGUUGAAGGUUGGGUAACACUAACUGGAGGACCGAACCGACUAAUGUUGAAAAAUUAGCGGAUGACUUGUGGCUGGGGGUGAAAGGCCAAUCAAACCGGGAGAUAGCUGGUUCUCCCCGAAAGCUAUUUAGGUAGCGCCUCGUGAAUUCAUCUCCGGGGGUAGAGCACUGUUUCGGCAAGGGGGUCAUCCCGACUUACCAACCCGAUGCAAACUGCGAAUACCGGAGAAUGUUAUCACGGGAGACACACGGCGGGUGCUAACGUCCGUCGUGAAGAGGGAAACAACCCAGACCGCCAGCUAAGGUCCCAAAGUCAUGGUUAAGUGGGAAACGAUGUGGGAAGGCCCAGACAGCCAGGAUGUUGGCUUAGAAGCAGCCAUCAUUUAAAGAAAGCGUAAUAGCUCACUGGUCGAGUCGGCCUGCGCGGAAGAUGUAACGGGGCUAAACCAUGCACCGAAGCUGCGGCAGCGACACUAUGUGUUGUUGGGUAGGGGAGCGUUCUGUAAGCCUGUGAAGGUGUACUGUGAGGUAUGCUGGAGGUAUCAGAAGUGCGAAUGCUGACAUAAGUAACGAUAAAGCGGGUGAAAAGCCCGCUCGCCGGAAGACCAAGGGUUCCUGUCCAACGUUAAUCGGGGCAGGGUGAGUCGACCCCUAAGGCGAGGCCGAAAGGCGUAGUCGAUGGGAAACAGGUUAAUAUUCCUGUACUUGGUGUUACUGCGAAGGGGGGACGGAGAAGGCUAUGUUGGCCGGGCGACGGUUGUCCCGGUUUAAGCGUGUAGGCUGGUUUUCCAGGCAAAUCCGGAAAAUCAAGGCUGAGGCGUGAUGACGAGGCACUACGGUGCUGAAGCGACAAAUGCCCUGCUUCCAGGAAAAGCCUCUAAGCAUCAGGUAACAUCAAAUCGUACCCCAAACCGACACAGGUGGUCAGGUAGAGAAUACCAAGGCGCUUGAGAGAACUCGGGUGAAGGAACUAGGCAAAAUGGUGCCGUAACUUCGGGAGAAGGCACGCUGAUAUGUAGGUGAAGCGACUUGCUCGUGGAGCUGAAAUCAGUCGAAGAUACCAGCUGGCUGCAACUGUUUAUUAAAAACACAGCACUGUGCAAACACGAAAGUGGACGUAUACGGUGUGACGCCUGCCCGGUGCCGGAAGGUUAAUUGAUGGGGUUAGCGGUAACGCGAAGCUCUUGAUCGAAGCCCGGUAAACGGCGGCCGUAACUAUAACGGUCCUAAGGUAGCGAAAUUCCUUGUCGGGUAAGUUCCGACCUGCACGAAUGGCGUAAUGAUGGCCAGGCUGUCUCCACCCGAGACUCAGUGAAAUUGAACUCGCUGUGAAGAUGCAGUGUACCCGCGGCAAGACGGAAAGACCCCGUGAACCUUUACUAUAGCUUGACACUGAACAUUGAGCCUUGAUGUGUAGGAUAGGUGGGAGGCUUUGAAGUGUGGACGCCAGUCUGCAUGGAGCCGACCUUGAAAUACCACCCUUUAAUGUUUGAUGUUCUAACGUGGGCCCCUUACCGGGGUUGCGGACAGUGUCUGGUGGGUAGUUUGACUGGGGCGGUCUCCUCCUAAAGAGUAACGGAGGAGCACGAAGGUUGGCUAAUCCUGGUCGGACAUCAGGAGGUUAGUGCAAUGGCAUAAGCCAGCUUGACUGCGAGCGUGACGGCGCGAGCAGGUGCGAAAGCAGGUCAUAGUGAUCCGGUGGUUCUGAAUGGAAGGGCCAUCGCUCAACGGAUAAAAGGUACUCCGGGGAUAACAGGCUGAUACCGCCCAAGAGUUCAUAUCGACGGCGGUGUUUGGCACCUCGAUGUCGGCUCAUCACAUCCUGGGGCUGAAGUAGGUCCCAAGGGUAUGGCUGUUCGCCAUUUAAAGUGGUACGCGAGCUGGGUUUAGAACGUCGUGAGACAGUUCGGUCCCUAUCUGCCGUGGGCGCUGGAGAACUGAGGGGGGCUGCUCCUAGUACGAGAGGACCGGAGUGGACGCAUCACUGGUGUUCGGGUUGUCAUGCCAAUGGCACUGCCCGGUAGCUAAAUGCGGAAGAGAUAAGUGCUGAAAGCAUCUAAGCACGAAACUUGCCCCGAGAUGAGUUCUCCCUGACUCCUUGAGAGUCCUGAAGGAACGUUGAAGACGACGACGUUGAUAGGCCGGGUGUGUAAGCGCAGCGAUGCGUUGAGCUAACCGGUACUAAUGAACCGUGAGGCUUAACCUUACAACGCCGAAG
rnacentral:rRNA from 1 species